AUUUAAUUGAAGUUGAUCGAUUGCAGUGAUGUUUUUAUGGUCAAUAGACUAUUUAGAAUUGCUUGAAGCCUCCGAGUCCUCUUCUCCAGAUGUGUGUUUUUCUGACACCUGGCUCCCCUCUUGCCUCUCUCUCUCUAUUUCCUCUUGUUCUGCUUUGCUGCUGGGAAACUUGUCUUUGUUGUGUUCUUUUUUCCACUUCAUACGCCUGUUCUGGAACCAGAUCUUCACUUGCCUCUCAGUGAGGGCCAGUGCGUGAGACACUUCGAUGCGCCGCUUGCGGGUCAGUGGCUGUGCUCAUGUGGAAGUACCCUGCGAGGAGCUUUUCGGAGGUCGUGCGAGAGGUGUGGUCUCGGGACAAGAGGAGCCGGGGUGGAGAUGAUGUAGAGAGAGUUGGGGUCAUGAAAAAUGGUGGGACGAUGUAGUCGUCCUGGACCAAGAGGAGGCACAGCCAACAUUGUGGCUCUUGCUCUCGACUCGGCCAGAGAGGAGCUCAGACUGCCUUGACGCCAAAUGAAAGACCCAUUGACUGUAAAGCAGAGAGAGUGAGAGUAAAGUACCGAAGUGUUUGAGAGCUGCUGCUUGGGUCUGGACAGGCUGGAGGAGACCGUGUUCUAGAGAGGGCCAGGGUUUUCGGUUUUGCAGUGAUUGGGAAUGAACAUUCGGGAGACUGGGCCUGUUUCUGGCAAGAAUUUGAUGUUGCAUUGUAGAGUAGAUGGUCUUCUGCCUCCACGAUAUCUCUGCAAGCGUGUCCAACUGGAAAGAGAGUGUAAAAUGUGGAGGAAAGCUGGCUUGUUCAUGCGAGUGGUUGAUACACUGAGUAAGAUGAUUGGCACUUUGAAGAAGCUGGCGGACCUGAUUCACC